UCGUGCUAGGCGGGGAGGUAGCGGUGCCCUGAACUCGCAAUCCGCUGUAGCGAGGCUGAAUUCCUCUUUUCGGUUAGUCCAGCGUAUAGUCUGGCGAAAGUAAGUGGUGUUGACGUCUGGGUCCUGCGCAACGGAGACCCAUGAACCCUGUCAGGUCCGGAAGGAAGCAGCAGUAAGUGGCCAUCUCUGUGUGCCGCGGGACAGCCUGGGCUGAGCUAACUGCUUUCGUACGUGUAGGUUGGCUAUUCCAACGAGAGGUGCACGG
rnacentral:SRP_RNA from 1 species